GACGAACGCUGGCGGCGUGCUUAACACAUGCAAGUCGAACGGAAAGGCCCUGCUUUUGUGGGGUGCUCGAGUGGCGAACGGGUGAGUAACACGUGAGUAACCUGCCCUUGACUUUGGGAUAACUUCAGGAAACUGGGGCUAAUACCGGAUAGGAGCUCCUGCUGCAUGGUGGGGGUUGGAAAGUUUCGGCGGUUGGGGAUGGACUCGCGGCUUAUCAGCUUGUUGGUGGGGUAGUGGCUUACCAAGGCUUUGACGGGUAGCCGGCCUGAGAGGGUGACCGGCCACAUUGGGACUGAGAUAAGGCCCAGACUCCUACGGGAGGCAGCAGUGGGGAAUAUUGCACAAUGGGCGGAAGCCUGAUGCAGCAACGCCGCGUGCGGGAUGAAGGCCUUCGGGUUGUAAACCGCUUUCGCCUGUGACGAAGCGUGAGUGACGGUAAUGGGUAAAGAAGCACCGGCUAACUACGUG
rnacentral:rRNA from 1 species